GCCGUUUUUUACAGUGCAUUGUGGGAAGACUUGCUCACUUCAGGUUAGUAGUCGAACAACAACAGUAUGUCACUGUUAUUUAACGGUAUUAUAUCAUAUUUUUUUUAUUUGUGCGACGUGUAUUAUCACCACGAGGUAAUUAGAGUGCACCUUUAUCUAUGUUUGUCAUAUCUUUAAAAAUAUUACUGAGGGUUUUUUUAUAAUUAUUUCUAAAGUAUUUCUAAAAAUAACAUUAUAAAAACAUGUGGGUAACGGAUCAAUUAAAACAGAGACCAUCGUAGCUGGGUGCCACGGACGGAUGCCGAAAGUGUGUUUAGGCUACACACAGAAAACAAAAAUCUGGCGCGACACGGAGCUGCGGAACUUCCAUACUGCAUUACAUUUUCCAUCGUGUUGCUAACAGGUCCAAGUGAUACUCAAGGGCAGUGGAUGAAACAAUGGAUGAUCAGCUUGGAGGGCAGAAUAAUCUGUGAGGGUGUGCAACCAACCUUUCUGUCUGGACUUGCUGCUUUGUUUUCACUGUAUUACAUCUUUAACCUGCAAUAUCAAGAGGAAGCAGCAUCCACAUUGGAAUUCCUUCAAAGACGAUUUGUUGGAAUAAAUCCGGAAAAAGGGACCAAGGCUGCAAAAGGAAAAGUGACAUCUAAAAAGACUGGGAAAACUGUUCAAAAGAAGACCAUGACAGUCAAUCUGAAAGUGUCAAAUCUUUUAAAAAGAUUGAUGGACUUUGAGUGGCACUUUAUUUAAAAUGUUUUUUGUUUUACAGUGGUUUGUAUAUACUGUUUUUUUUUUUUUUUUGUAUUCUACUUUUUAUAUCCAGAAAGGUCUUGUCUUUGAUAAAGCCUUGUGUUGAUUUAUUUAUUUUCAUUAUUUUUUUUCGGAAGCUUGAUUUGAAGCUUGUUUAUUAUUUAAUGUCAAGUUGAGGCAUUUUGAAAUUGUGUUUGUUUUCUUAAGCCAUCUUUGUAUUUCUCCAUGUUAUGGGUGCUUAUUUGUUGCACCAUAGUUUAUGCACUCAAAAAUAUGAUGGCUUGCAUUUUUCACAUUUCUUUUUGGCACAACAAACAGCUUAACAAUUAAUAUAAUGUUAAAUGGAAAUAAAGAAGGACUAAAACAGUAAGUUGGCAUUAUUUAUUUUGUUUUCCACAAAUAUAAAAUGCAGGGUAUAAUAGCAUUUGCAAUUUAGAAUAAUUGGGCUGUGAUUAAAAUGUAUAUUAACAGCUAUAUACUGCUAAAUAACAGUUGUAUGCUGUAGCUAACAAAACAGUAUCUUGCUGUUAAUUUUAAUAACAGUAACCCACUGUUUUUUAACAGUGCAAUGCUGGCAACCACAGCUGCCAGUAGAUUACCGUUUUUUUACAGCAUUUUUUUUUACA